UGACUUCUAAGGAUUCCUUGUGGUUCAGGUUACUCCUACAGAUGUGAUUGGUUUAAUAUGGAAAGUUACCUAUUCCUGUUGUUGAAGAGUGUGAAGUUGCUUUUUGAGAGGAAGCUUCUACCAGCAGUUAUGACACAGUAUUUGUACACAUGUGGACUGAUGCCAAUGGAACCAGUGGAAUGUCUCUGGAUACACAUUCACUGUGCAAGUAUCCACUGA
rnacentral:lncRNA from 1 species